rnacentral:lncRNA from 1 species
CCUAUAUUUUUAAAAGUAUCAAAUUAUUGGUGCUUGUAGAUUUUUAGUCAUUGGAUUAAGAGAUAUACGGUAGCAAACGAGCUCUGUUGCCACCAGUUAUUUCGAUGAUGGAGCCAAAUCGAUGAUCGGCACUGUUGAACAUAAUCUAUACCACAUGAAGUAUCUAGAAAUCAAAUUUUAUAUUUUUUCUAUAUUGUUCUCUUGUCCAUCAAGUGGGCGUAAAAAUGAACGACUGAAAAUGAAUAUCCUCUAAAUGUGAUGAUAGGAAUUUUAUAAUCACGAUCGAGAGUAUAGAGCUUGUUCUAAAUAGUUUAAAGAAUUUUCUAACCAAAAUUCAAUUGAUUUGAAUAGCUUUACACCGUUAAACGUGAAAACACCUCAUAUCUACCACUAAAAUUACAAAAUUUGAAAUCUUUUGAUCAUUAGGUAAAUAAUAUUGAAAAGAUUUUAAAUUUGGUUUCUAGAUACUUCAAUUGAUUUGAAUAGCUUUACACCGUUAAACGUGAAAACACCUCAUAUCUACCACUAAAAUUACAAAAUUUGAAAUCUUUUGAUCAUUUGGUCAAUAAUAUUGAAAAGAUUUGAAAAUUGGUUUCUAGAUACUUCAAGUGGUAUAGAUCAUGUUCAACGGUGUCGAUCGUCGAUUCGAAGGCUUCAUCAUCGAAAACAAAUGGGUGUCAACGGAACCCGUUUGCUACCAAUAGCAUUCCAGCUCAUCUCUCUCUCUCUCUCUCUCUCUCUCUCUCUCUCUCUCUAUAUAUAUAUAUAUAUAUAUAUAUAUAUAUAUAUAUAUAUAUAUAUAUAUAUAUAUAU